AAAUUUGACAUGUUUUAAUCAUAAGAACUUCAAAAUAACCAAACAUCUUUUUUCAAUAGCAUGUAGAAUGUUGUUUUUUCAAACAAGCAACAUUUUGACCUCACAACCAUAAUCCCAAAGGGAGCCAAAGAGUACAAAAAACUGCUGUUACUUUAAUUAUCUCUCUCGUGCACUGAAAGUUUUCAGCGUGCUGUCAACACAAAGUUGAACUUUGAAACGGCUUUUUUAUAGUUCUCUUAAAAUAAGUUUCUUGUUCUGAAACUGACUUGUAAUGAAUCAUCUGACCAAUUUAUAUGAAUUGGUACCUUAAGCAAGAUGAAUUUUUUAUUUGCCAAUUUGAUAAUGCUUGACAAUAUGUG
rnacentral:misc_RNA from 1 species